AAACUCAAAUGAAUUGACGGGGGCCCGCACAAGCGGUGGAGCAUGUGGUUUAAUUCGAUGCAACGCGAAGAACCUUACCUACUCUUGACAUCCAGCGAAUCCUUUAGAGAUAGAGGAGUGCCUUCGGGAACGCUGAGACAGGUGCUGCAUGGCUGUCGUCAGCUCGUGUUGUGAAAUGUUGGGUUAAGUCCCGCAACGAGCGCAACCCUUAUCCUUUGUUGCCAGCACGUGAUGGUGGGAACUCAAAGGAGACUGUCGGUGAUAAACCGGAGGAAGGUGGGGAUGACGUCAAGUCAUCAUGGCCCUUACGAGUAGGGCUACACACGUGCUACAAUGGCAGAUACAAAGAGAAGCGACCUCGCGAGAGCAAGCGGAACUCAUAAAGUCUGUCGUAGUCCGGAUUGGAGUCUGCAACUCGACUCCAUGAAGUCGGAAUCGCUAGUAAUCGUAGAUCAGAAUGCUACGGUGAAUACGUUCCCGGGCCUUGUACACACCGCCCGU
rnacentral:rRNA from 1 species